GUGACAGGUGUCUCCCAAACUUUUCCUUUCUUUUGUGUUUUGCUCCUUAACCUUUUCUUUCUUUCGUGUUUCGAUCUUCACCAAAAAGCCAAAACCUUUUUACCUGGUGGAAGGUUAUCAGAGAAGAUUUUUGUCCAAUGGGUUGAAGAAAGUUAAUCCGGCAGCAAUCCCAAAACCACCAUUUAGGGAAAAAAAACGAAAAUGAUAGAUUCUGAUUGGAUGAUUAGAGUAAACAAUGGAUUGAGAACUCAUUGUCCCUCAGAGUUCAAAAUGACAUCCUCAAGCGCCUCUACCACACCGACGAUGCUCCUCAAGAUAUGAUGGAGAUGAGGGCAGAAAUCGUGGUGAUGCUGAAGUCGCUGUCGCUGCACCCCUGGCGACAUUCCUUCAUACCCCGUUGGAUGUGCAGGAGUUGAAGGCUAACAAGGAAGAAUUGUGAGUAGAAAAGUUAAAGGACAAAGGAAGACUGGAAAUGGAAGACUGGAAAAGGCGUUAGUUGAAGAAGAGGGCAAAGGGAAAGGUCUGCGAGUUUGACGGUGUUGUAGUUGGUUGGUAUGCAUGUUGAGGGUUGUGGAUCUCCUGGUAAUGUGAAGGCCGAUGAGGUUUUCGAAGGCAUCGUUGCUAUUGUUGCUUGAGCUUUGAGAAGUUCUUCAUCGCUUAAGGUCUCUAAAGAUGAUAUGAUGAGGAGGCAAUAUUCUUUGAUGAAUCUAUUUUAGAAAUGUAAAACGAAAGCAAUUGGAGUCGAAGGCAUUGGAUUUUAUACUCACCAAAUAAGGAAUGCAAGGAAAAUUUUAUAAAUGAAGUUCAUCAGAAUUUGAAGAGUUUUUGAAGGCGAAGUGCUUGAUGAAUGGCGAAGUUUCAUUGAUUCUUGAGCACGAGUAUGAGCAGCUUCAACAAACUUAUGAUGAUCCCAUGAAUCAAGUUUCUCAGUGAGUGAAAACCUUUAUCUUGCUAAUGUGUGGGUUCAGUUGAGUAUAAUGUUUGGGAGACAGAUCUCAAGCAUUUGAAAAUUGAAACUCAAAAUGCAUUUGGGUCAUAUGGUAUAUUUAUGGAUUUUCUUUUUCUUUUUAUAGUUCAGGUAUAGAUAUUCUUACUAUGUGUUGCU